CGACAUGUAACCGCCAUGGGGUAGGAAGCCCGGAACUAUUCUCCAGGUUAAGUGCCGUGUUUAUUGCAUCUCAUCUCAUUUGUUGGAUUUUCAGCUCUGACGUUUAUUGACUUUUUACACAGAAAUAAUGCAAUAGCUGGAGGAUGGCUGGCCACUUCCAGUAAGACAUAUGGCUGUGGUAGUUCUGGGAGCCGCAGAGCUUAGAGGAAGGAGACUAUAGACAUGAAACUUCUGAGAAGUCAAGGAACCCUCUGGUCACAGUAUGACGGGCACAUAUUUCCACAUUCCCAAAUUCCUGUCCUCUCCAUCCUGGAAGCUAAGCCCCAGGCUACACUGCAGAGGCAAGCAGAGCUCUGGGAGUUCAAGGCCAGCCUGCUCUAGAGAGUUCCAGGACAUCCAGUCUCCAAAUUGCAGAUUAAAGUAAGAUGCCAUCUCUUCUCCAUCAAACUGGUAAAUUUUAAGAGAUGAUUAACAGCAACUGACUCUGAGGAUGUGGGAAGUGGAAGCUAACUCCCCAGGCUUUGCAGGGACAAUUUCAUGUUAUCUACCAAAGUUAAGCUUAGCGAUGCUCUUUGAUGUAGAUCUGUGAGCCCAUGAGUUAGAUUCACACUGUGUUGUAUCACUGUGGGGGUGGUGAGGUGCGGGAAGGUCGGGACUGCACUCAAACUUGUUUUCCACAGGGCAGUAGGUUAGAAUAUGUGUUGCCAGGAGACUCAUUAAAAUCAUGUAGAUUUUCUUUGCAAGUCUGCUUCUAGGCCUUGUAUUUUUUUUUUUUAAGGUUAGUUCUUCUGUCACCCAGAAACUGUAAUUUUCAUCUGGCAGCAUCCCUGAGCACAGCUUUCCUCCUCUCCUCUCACACCCACCCUUCAGUAUUUCUUAGGGUCUAAACAGGGAAGCGAUGGGGGGGGGGAAUUCCAGGUCAGCUCUAGUACAAGGAAAACAAACCCAUUAGUAUGUAGGGAGCCAUUUGUCUUCAAGUCUAAACAAGACCUGAGCUCUGAAGAGGGAAUACUGCCUGAUGAAGAAAGCGGGGUGCCCAGGGGAACCUCAAUCCCUGCAGUUCAGAACACUGGUGAGGGCCCAACAAGUUUCAGGGAAUAAAACAGUUCUGACACAAAACACACACUUUGUCUGCAAAUAUAGAGGUUUUCCUAACAUUGAGCUAGAAAAAGGAAAUGCUGGUUUGAGCCCAUCUACUUUCUAACAUACUCAUCUCUGUAUAAAUGU